UACGGGGGGGGCAAGCGUUGUUCGGAAUUACUGGGCGUAAAGGGCUCGUAGGCGGCCAACUAAGUCAGACGUGAAAUCCCUCGGCUUAACCGGGGAACUGCAUCUGAUACUGGAUGGCUUGAGUUCGGGAGAGGGAUGCGGAAUUCCAGGUGUAGCGGUGAAAUGCGUAGAUAUCUGGAGGAACACCGGUGGCGAAGGCGGCCAACUGGACCACAACUGACGCUGAGGCGCGAAAGCGUGGGGAGCAAACAGG
rnacentral:rRNA from 1 species